rnacentral:ncRNA from 2 species
GCGAGAUGGCGCCAUCCAAGUUCCGGCCCCGCCGGAUGAAAAGGGAACGCGGAGCGGGCUUGCCCGUCAGCCGCGGCUGCCCCCGCAACUGUCAGCGGCGAGCGACGUCGAUCAUGCCACUGGGGAGCCCCCCGGGAAGGCCGGCCGAGCCCAGACCCGUGAGCCAGGAGACCUGCUUGGAGCUCACCCUUCCC